rnacentral:rRNA from 1 species
GCCAGAGGGUGCAAACGUUGUUCGGAAUUACUGGGCGUAAAGCGUGUGUAGGCGGUCCACUAAGUCGGAUGUGAAAGCCCUGGGCUCAACCCAGGAAGUGCACUCGAAACUGGCGGGCUAGAGUAUCGGAGAGGUUGGUGGAAUUCUCGGUGUAGAGGUGAAAUUCGUAGAUAUCGAGAGGAACACCGGUGGCGAAGGCGGCCAACUGGACGAAUACUGACGCUGAGACACGAAAGCGUGGGGAGCAAACAGG